GGCCACAAGCUCAAGAUCAGGGGCUGGGCGCUGGGAGCUUCCCUUGGCUUGUGAGAGGCCCUUGGGGCUGUGGGAGCCCAUGGCAGAUGGCAGACACUGCUGCAGCCCUCAGGUUGCUCCAGUUAGCACAGGGGUUGAAACCCAUGCAGUGAAACACUUCAUGCUCUAGGAGCUGAAGUGCUAAAUGCAGUCCAUUUGGGAGCACAAGGCCAAGUAAAGCAUUAACGCUGGAGUUAAGACAAAUUCAGGAAUAACUAAUAUUGUUGACUUUGCUUGCACAAAAUGUCACUUUCUUUGAGCUUUUAUUCUCUCCCCUAAGAGCAAGUUUAAGGGCAAACAGAAAUAUUAGUCAUCUUUCUCCUAUUAAUUAUUGUUAAAGAUUUAAGGGAUCAUAGACUUUGAAGUUAAUGCCCCAUUCAAUGUGGGAAAAGGCAAAACUGUGCAUCCCCAGUGGUGUUGUUCUUUCUGGCUGGCUGGUUGAUCACAGACCAGCUGUCCUGCCGUGUGACAUCAGAGCACGCUGCUCUGCUUACCGGCAGUCAUUGCAGGAUGCAGCAGGCUUCAGGGGAAGAGAGGAGUGCACGAACAUAUGUGUGCAUUGCACUUGCGUGCGCACACUCCUGAACACAGCGGUGAAUGAAUGUGCCAGUGGACCUGCUUCUUACAUCCUGGUAACUUCUGAAAUCCUGGAUUAACUUUGAAAUAAAAGUUUUGGUGUCCUCUGAACAUGGGCAGCUUCAAUGGCCUGCUCUUCUCCAAAAGCAACUGUCUCCAAAUGGUACUGUGGGGCUGCUGGAUGCACAUUUCUCAGUUCCAGAUCUGAUUCGUUUGCUCUACAAAAGCGAAGAUGUAUUUGUUGACCCUCUGUGCUCUUACUUGGAUCAAGAUAGGCAGUAUUCUUCCUCUCUUAGGAAUCUGAUCUGUUGCCUGCAUGACUGCCCUUCUUCGGCCUUACACAGAAAUUAAAAAGGACGGAGUUUGGUCUGCUGUUUAGGGCUAUUACAGGGGAUGCGAAUAGGCAAAAAGGAACCAAACCUGCCAGUAAGAUCUUAGGAAGGUUUUAAGAGUAGAACCGUUUUUGUGAACUUACGUUCUGUAGACAGUAUUGAAUAUUCACUAUACAACCAUGGAAAGACAGACAACUUGCCUAAAGGUUUCAUUUGCCCCAGAAUGUAAUUUUGGAGCAAUCAAAGCCAACUGUUAAUUUGAAUAACAUCUGAUAAAUGGUUGUGGCUAUAAGCGUUGAAGUAUGUCACAUCAUAUCUGUAUAGCUAUACACGUAUUUAAAUAAAGUGCAUUGCACUUCCCAAAGCAUUUCAUUUUGGGGCAUUUGUAAUGUAGACCUGGGCACUUCUUCUGCAGGGAUAGUUCAAGCUUAAAAUCUCCAAUUUAUGACUUGACAUAAUAUUUUUCAGUUCUGUCUGGAGAAAAGGGAAGACAAUAUUUUGGAAGAGUGAUGUCCUUAUUUGUUUUUUAAGCUUAGGCUAUUUUUGUGAAAGGGUUAAAUAACCAUAAACAUUUUUGUAUCAA